UUUGGGUGGGGUUUGUUGGGGUUUGGGUGUUGGGAUCCGGGUGUUCCUUUGGAAUCCAGGUGUUUCUUUGGGAUCUGGUUGUUGUUUUUUGGGAUUUGGGUGUUCCAUUGGGGUUGAGGUUGUUGGGAUCCGGGUGUUCUUUUUGGGCUCUGAGUGUUCCUUUCAGGUUGGGGUUGUUGGGAUCCGGGUGUUCCUUUGGGAUUGGGGUGUGAUUUUAUGGGGUUUGGGUGUUUGGGAUCCGGGUGUUGCUUUGGGGUUGAGGUUGUUGGGAUCCGGGUGUUCUUUUUGGGAUCUGAGUGUUCCUUUCAGGUUGGGGUUGUUGGGAUCCGGGUGUUCUUUUUGGGAUCGGGGUGUGAUUUUAUGGGAUUUGGGUGUUGGGAUCCAGUUGUUCCUUUGGGAUUUGGGUGUUGGAUCCGGGUGUUCUUUUGGGAUCUGAUUGUGGUUUUUUUGGGAUCCGGGUGUUCCUUUGGGGUUCCAGUUGUUGGGAUCUGGGUGUUGUUUUUUGGGAUUGGGGUGUGGUUUUAUGGGAUUUGGGUGUUCCAUUGGGGUUGAGGUUGUUGGGAUCCGGGUGUUCUAUUUGGGAUCUGGGUGUUCCUUUGGGGUUCCGGUUGUUGGAAUCCAGGUGUUGUUUUUUGGGAUUUGGGUGUUGGGAUUUGGGUGUUCCUUCAGGAUCUGGGUGUUCCUUUGGGGUCCAGGUGUUGUUUUGGGAUCUGGGUGUGAUUUUAUGGGAUUUGGGUGUUGGGAUCCGGGUGUUCUUUUUGGGGUUGAGGUUGUUGGGAGCUGGGUGUUCUUUUGAGAUGGGGUGUGGUUUGUUGGGAUCCGGGUGUUGGGAUCUGGGUGUUGUUUUUGGGAUCUGAGUGUUCUGUUUGGGAUUUGGGUGUUGGGAUCCGGGUGUUCCUUUGGGAUUUGGGUGUUGGGAUUUGGGUGAUGGGAUUGUGGUGUUCCUUUGGGGUUUGGGUUGUUGGGAUCCGGGUGUUCCAUUGGGGUUGAGGUUGUUGGGAUCCGGGUGUUCUUUUUGGGAUCUGAGUGUUCCUUUCAGGUUGGGGUUGUUGGGAUUUGGGUUGUUGGGAUCCGGGUGUUCCUUUGGGAUCUGGGUGUUCCUUUGGGGUUCCAGUUGUUGGGAUCUGGGUGUUGUUUUUUGGGAUUUGGGUGUUGGGGUUUGGGUGUUGUUUGUUGGGAUUUGGGCGCACACCGUGUUCACCAAGAAGGACGACAAGAAGGACAAGCAGAAGCAGAGCCUGGAGCCCUGGAAGCUCUACGCCACCGUGGGCGGCCUGGUGGCCUUCGACGUGGUCACGCUGAGCGUGUGGCAGAUCGUGGACCCCCUGCACCGCACCAUCGAGGUCUGGAUGGUUCUCCAGGGGGUUUGGGGGGGUCCUGGGAGGUUCUGGAGAUGUUCUGGAGGGGUUGGAGGAGGUUCUAUGGGGGUUUGAGAGGGUUUUGGGAGGUUCUAUGGGGGUUUGAGGGUUCCUGGGAAGUUCUCAAGAUGUUCUUGAGACGUUUGAGGAGCUCCUGGGAGGUUCUCCAGGUGUUUGAGGUGGUUCUGGAAGGGUCCUGGGAGGUUCUCGAGAUGUUCUGGAGGGGUUGGAGGUGGUUCUGGAAGGUUCUCCCAGGGUUUGAGGAGCUCCUGGGAGGUUCUCCAGGUGUUUUAGGAGGUUCUGGAAGGUUCUCUGUGGGUUUGAGAGGUUCCUGGGAGGUUCUUGAGAUGUUCUGGAGGUGUUUGAGGGUUCCUGGGAGGUUCUUGAGAUGUUCUGGAGGUGUUUGAGGGUUCCUGGGAGGUUCUCGAGAUGUUCUGGAGGGGUUUGAGGGGGUUCUGGAAGGUUCUAUGGAGGUUUGAGAGGUUCCUGGGAGGUUCUGGAGAUGUUCUGGAGGGGUUUGAGGAGCUCCUGGGAGGUUCUCCAGGUGUUUGAGGUGGUUCUGGAAGGGUCCUGGGAGGUUCUGGAGAUGUUCUGGAGGGGUUNCUGGAGGGGUUUGAGGAGCUCCUGGGAGGUUCUCCAGGUGUUUGAGGUGGUUCUGGAAGGGUCCUGGGAGGUUCUGGAGAUGUUCUGGAGGGGUUGGAGGUGGUUCUGGAAGGUUCUCGAGAUGUUUGAGGAGGUUCUGGAAGGUUCUAUGGGGGUUUGAGAGGGUCCUGGGAAGUUCUGGAGGUGUUUGAGGGUUCCUGGGAGGUUCUUGAGAUGUUCUGGAGGUGUUUCAGGGGGUUCUUGAGGUGUUUGAGGAGCUCCUGGAAGGUUCUCCAGGUGUUUGAGGGUUCCUUGAGGUGUUUGAGGUGGUUCUGGAAGGUUCUCUGUGGGUUUGAGAGGGUUUUGGGAGGUUCUUGAGAUGUCCUGGAUGGGUUGGAGGGUUCCUGGGAAGUUCUCAAGAUGUUCUGGAGGUGUUUGAGGGGUUCUUGAGGUGUUUGAGGAGGUUCUGGAAGGUUCUCGAGAUGUUCUGGAGGUGUUUGAGGGUUCCUGGGAGGUUCUCAAGGUGUUCUGGAGGUGUUUGAGGACUUCUUGAGUUGUUUAAAGGGGGUUCUGGAAGGAUCUCCAGGGGUUUGAGUGUUCCUUGAGGUGUUUGAGGUGGUUCUGGAAGGUUCUCCAGGGGGUUUGAGGGCCUCAUGGGAGGUCCUUGAGAUGUUCUGGAGGUGUUUGAGGGGUUCUUGAGGUGGUUUUUGAGGUUCUCCAGGUGUUUGAGGGGUUUCUGGAAGGUUCUUGAGAUGUUCUGGAGGUGUUUGAUGAUGUUCUGGAAGGUUCUCUGGGGGUUUGAGAGGGUUCUGGGAGGUUCUGGAG
rnacentral:lncRNA from 1 species